GACGAACGCUGGCGGCGUGCUUAACACAUGCAAGUCGAACGGAAAGGCUCCAGCUUGCUGGAGUACUCGAGUGGCGAACGGGUGAGUAACACGUGGGUGAUCUGCCCUGCACUUCGGGAUAAGCCUGGGAAACUGGGUCUAAUACCGGAUAGGACCGCACUUUGGUGUGUGUGGUGGAAAGGUUUUUCUGGUGUGGGAUGAGCUCGCGGCCUAUCAGUUUGUUGGUGGGGUAAUGGCCUACCAAGACGGCGACGGGUAGCCGGGCUGAGAGGGUGGACGGGCACAUUGGGACUGAGGUACGGCCCAGGCUCCUACGGGAGGCAGCAGGGGGGAAUAUUGCACAAUGGGGGAAACCCUGGUGCAGCGACGCCGCGUGGGGGAUGAAGGCCUUCGGGUUGUAAACUCCUUUCGCUAGGGACGAAGCUUUUUGUGACGGUACCUGGAGAAGAAGCACCGGCUAACUACGUG
rnacentral:rRNA from 1 species